GAUGAACGCUGGCGGCGUGCCUAACACAUGCAAGUCGAACGAUGAAGCCCAGCUUGCUGGGUGGAUUAGUGGCGAACGGGUGAGUAACACGUGAGUAACCUGCCCUUAACUCUGGGAUAAGCCUGGGAAACUGGGUCUAAUACCGGAUAGGAGCGUCCACCGCAUGGUGGGUGUUGGAAAGAUUUAUCGGUUUUGGAUGGACUCGCGGCCUAUCAGCUUGUUGGUGAGGUAAUGGCUCACCAAGGCGACGACGGGGAGCCGGCCUGGGAGGGUGACCGGCCACACUGGGACUGAGACACGGCCCAGACUCCUACGGGAGGCAGCAGUGGGGAAUAUUGCACAAUGGGCGCAAGCCUGAUGCAGCGACGCCGCGUGAGGGAUGACGGCCUUCGGGUUGUAAACCUCCUUCAGUAGGGAAGAAGCGAAAGUGACGGUACCUGCAGAAGAAGCACCGGCUAACUACGUG
rnacentral:rRNA from 1 species